rnacentral:rRNA from 1 species
AGUGGCGAACGGGUGAGUAAUGCAUCGGAACGUACCUUUCAGUGGGGAAUAACUAUCCGAAAGGAUAGCUAAUACCGCAUAUUCUGUGAGCAGGAAAGCAGGGGAUCGCAAGACCUUGCGCUGAUUGAGCGGCCGAUGUCAGAUUAGCUAGUUGGUGAGGUAAAGGCUCACCAAGGCGACGAUCUGUAGCGGGUCUGAGAGGAUGAUCCGCCACACUGGAACUGAGACACGGUCCAGACUCCUACGGGAGGCAGCAGUGGGGAAUUUUGGACAAUGGGGGCAACCCGGAUCCAGCCAUGCCGCGUGAGUGAAGAAGGCCUUCGGGUUGUAAAGCUCUUUCGGCCGGGAAAAAAUCGCAUGGGUUAAUACCCUGUGUGGAUGAUGGUACCGGAAUAAGAAGCACCGGCUAACUACGUGCCAGCAGCCGCGGUAAUACGUAGGGUGCGAGCGUUAAUCGGAAUUACUGGGCGUAAAGCGUGCGCAGGCGGUUUUGUAAGACAGGCGUGAAAUCCCCGGGCUCAACCUGGGAACUGCGCUUGUGACUGCAAGGCUAGAGUACGGCAGAGGGGGGUGGAAUUCCACGUGUAGCAGUGAAAUGCGUAGAGAUGUGGAGGAACACCAAUGGCGAAGGCAGCCCCCUGGGUCGAUACUGACGCUCAUGCACGAAAGCGUGGGUAGCAAACAGGAUUAGAUACCCUGG